GCGGGUGUAGUUCAGUUGGUAGAACACUAGAUUUCCAAUCUAGAUGUCGCGAGUUCGACCCUCGUCGCCCGCUCCA
rnacentral:tRNA from 1 species